UAGUAUUUGUUCGAAAUCUGACGGAUUUGGAUAAUUUUAACGUUGUUGUGCAAUUUGUGGAAACCAAUAUGGAUUCUGUUAGUCAGCGAAUUGCGGAAUGUGAUGUGUAUACGUUGGAAAAUCCGGUUCAAAUUGAAGAGGAAGAAAAAUCCAAUAGAUCGGAUGAGAAAGAGAAAAAACAUCAAAAAAAGAAGUAAAAAUAUUAAACCUUUUUACAAUUUUGAACAAUAAUUACUUACUUCCUACAUAACAUUGUAAUUAUUUCGAUUAUACGGUGCGUUACAUUUUAUUUUUAGGAAAGCGACGGAAAAAAGGAAAUUUGUGCAGCCAAUUCGCAGAACUUGUGGGAUGAUACUGUCAAUCUUACAGAUUUCGAAGAAGCAAUGCAACAUGCGGAAAAAUUAAGAGAAAUAAUUGAAAAGAAAAAAGUGAUAG